rnacentral:lncRNA from 1 species
UUAACUUGGGCAAUUAUAUUUGUUGGUAUAGACCCAAGGAAUCAACCUGAGGAGGAAGAUAUAGCCUGUGGAAAUUUUUUUAAUAUUGUUAAUGUUCUCCUGUUCGAUUUGUAUCAAGAGCAACUGAUGAUGAAAGACGUGGUCGUGGACAGCGAAGAGCUGAUGCAUAGUCCUCAGCUGACCACACAUGGCACCAAUGCGAGCAAUAUGCCACCAAUCCAAGUCAGAGGCGGCAGCCACCACCACGUGUGA